ACGGAAUAGAUACCCUGGUAGUCCACGCCGUAAACGAUGGAUGCUAGCCGUUAGGCAGCUUGCUGCUUAGUGGCGCAGCUAACGCUUUAAGCAUCCCGCCUGGGGAGUACGGUCGCAAGAUUAAAACUCAAAGGAAUUGACGGGGGCCCGGCACAAGCGGUGGAGCAUGUGGUUUAACUUCGAAGCAACGCGCAGAACCUUACCAGCUUUUGUACAUGCCUUGGACGGAUAGCAGAGAUGCUUUCUUCUCUUCGGAGCCAGGGACACAGGUGCUGCAUGGCUGUCGUCAGCUCGUGUCGUGAGAUGUUGGGUUAAGUCCCGCAACGAGCGCAACCCUCGCCUUAGUUGCCAUCAUUCAGUUGGGUCACUCUAGGGGGUACUGCCGGUGAUAAGCCGCGAGGAAGGUGGGGAUGACGUCAAGUCCUCAUGGCCCUUACAA
rnacentral:rRNA from 1 species